rnacentral:rRNA from 1 species
UACGUAGGGUGCGAGCGUUAAUCGGAAUUACUGGGCGUAAAGCGUGCGCAGGCGGUUUUGUAAGCCAGAUGUGAAAUCCCCGGGCUUAACCUGGGAAUGGCAUUUGGGACUGCAAGGCUUGAGUGCGGCAGAGGAGACUGGAAUUCCCGGUGUAGCAGUGAAAUUCGUAGAUAUUCGGAAGAACACCAGUGGCGAAGGCGGCUCACUGGCCCGGUACUGACGCUGAAAUACGAAAGCGUGGGGAGCAAACAGG